AGUGAACGCUGGCGGCGUGCUUAACACAUGCAAGUCGAACGAGAACGGGUUAUAGCUUGCUAUAACUGUCAGCUAAGUGGCGCACGGGUGAGUAAUGUAUAGGUAAUAUGCCUCUUACUAAGGGAUAACAAAUGGAAACGUUUGCUAAUACCUUAUACUCCUUAUUAACAGGAGUUAAUAAGGGAAAGAUUUAUUGGUAAGAGAUUAGCCUGUAUUGUAUCAGUUAGUUGGUGGGGUAAUGGCUUACCAAGACUAUGACACAUAACUGGUUUGAGAGGAUGAUCAGUCACACUGGAACUGAGACACGGUCCAGACUCCUACGGGAGGCAGCAGUGGGGAAUAUUGCACAAUGGACGAAAGUCUGAUGCAGCAACGCCGCGUGGAGGAUGACACAUUUCGGUGCGUAAACUCCUUUUAUAUGAGAAGAUAAUGACGGUAUUAUAUGAAUAAGCACCGGCUAACUCCGUGCCAGCAGCCGCAGUAA
rnacentral:rRNA from 1 species